rnacentral:rRNA from 1 species
UGGGGAAUCUUCCGCAAUGGACGAAAGUCUGACGGAGCAACGCCGCGUGAGUGAAGACGGCCUUCGGGUUGUAAAGCUCUGUGAUUCGUGACGAAAGAGCCUUGGUACAAUAUGCCGAGGAAGUGACGGUAGCGAAACAGCAAGCCACGGCUAACUACGUGCCAGCAGCCGCGGUAAUACGUAGGUGGCAAGCGUUGUCCGGAAUUAUUGGGCGUAAAGCGCGCGCAGGCGGUUUUUUAAGUCCAUCUUAAAAGUGCGGGGCUCAACCCCGUGAUGGGAUGGAAACUGAAAGACUGGAGUAGCGGAGAGGAAAGUGGAAUUCCUAGUGUAGCGGUGAAAUGCGUAGAGAUUAGGAAGAACACCGGUGGCGAAGGCGACUUUCCGGACGCCAACUGACGCUGAGGCGCGAAAGCGUGGGGAGCAAACA